CGCACAUUGCGCCCUUUGGCAUUCCGAAGGGCAUGCCCGUUCGAGCGUCAUUUCACCAAUCAAGCCUGGCUUGGUGUUGGGCCCCGGGGGUGACCCGGACCCCAAUGUCCUGCCGGCCGGACGACCCGGAUCCCAGCGUUUGAGCACACAGUUCCCCGCUGGUGGAGCCGGGGCGGCCGCGCCGUCAAAACAUUUUUUAUGAAAGGUUGACCUCGGAUCGGGUAGGGAUACCCGCUGAACUUAA
rnacentral:misc_RNA from 1 species